rnacentral:sRNA from 1 species
GUGAGUCGAGGCUGAGCUUGAAUACUGC